ACCUGCCGGCGCUCUCCGCCUCUUUGUCUGCUCCGGGACUUGGAACAAAAGGGGGGAACUCUGCUGAACUCCUUCUCCCCUCUCCCCGGGACGCGGGGGUAUCUCCCUCUCUGCAACUUUGCCAACGCGACUUUCUCCGCUGUCAGGCUGCGAAAAAGUGUCCCAGCGCCUCCCAGGCUGCAACAAUGGAAGCGGUGCCCCUUUAAAGUGCCACGAAGUGGAAGAGGCUUUCUUCAGUCUUGGACGGAUUCACUUUUGUCAAGACAAACAUCGAACCAAAUGCAUUGUUAAUAACUCAAGGAAACACCCAAAUAGUGCUCUAACUUCUCAAAGCUUCCAUUCUUCAAGGUACAAGAGCUUCGAAGUUUUGAGUUUUCGUGUCAAAGGCAGAAAUGUAUUAGGAGGACAGAUACUAUUUUUUAGGGUGUAUACGGACUGUGGGAAGCUAACUGUAAUGAAUUCCAACUGUAUAGGUGGCCUUACUGGAAUCUCCAAGUGUCAUGUGGUUGCUGAGUACUCCCUGGUGCUGGAUAUAUAAACAUACACGCAUAUCCGUGAGUGACAUAGAUUUGAGUGACAUGGAUUUGCCAGGACCCCAGCAAGUCACCCCUGUAUCGGAUACCACCAACUUCUUCCUUUGGAGCUACCAGAGUGAAAUUAUUGGGACUUUUGACAAGGCUUGCCAUUUGUGGAUUAUUACAGUUUGAUGACUGCGAAUUCUGUGACUGAAAAAAGGUAAUGAUGGUGUUUUUAGUACCUGCAAGACUAAGGGACUAUCUGGCCUCACUGAGAAGAGAUCUAGGUUGUUUUGGAAGGUGACUAUGAUUGAUUUUGCUACACGUACUUCCAAAGGCACGGUGAAAUCCAGAGAGUCAGUCCAUUAUUUGUUGAGAUCAAGAUAUUGAUUUGGAUGUUUUGAGACCUUCAGAUACAGACUUGUCAUCAAUGUUAUAAACUGAAGGGCCCAGUCGACAAAAUAAUGUCAAGAAGUAAGAGGAAAGCAAAUUGAAGCCCCCACUGCCUGGGGCUGUGCAUGAACCGAACAGGGAAGCCUUGGAAGAGAUGCAAACAUUGCUUUAGAAGGAAACAGGAAGUCUGGAUUUGCUCACACUCUAAGAAUUCAAGGAUCCCAGGGACUGGACUGGGAAAACAUCUCUUCUAAGACACCCCCUUUCAUUUUGUGCCCAAGGCUGUUCAUCCACCAUUCAGCCGAGGCUGUCUGUCUUGCCGCAGCUCAGCCAGUCAGAGCAGAAGCCCGUAGAUGUCCCCUCUCUCACCCUCCCUGUCUGCUGAGUAGCUGAGUGGACGUACACCCCAUGGUUUUGUCACUCGUGGAACACGAGCUACAUCUCCGGUCCUCUCUUCCAAUGCUCUGGUACCCCCACUUCUUCCCUGUUUGCCUCUCUUAAAAAUUAUCCUAUUUAUUUAUAUGUAUGUGUGCUGAGCGGGGGAGCAUGUGUGUGCCUCUGUGUGCAGGUGGGUGUCAGGCUGACAUG